rnacentral:rRNA from 1 species
CCUACGGGUUGCUGCAGUGGGGAAUUUUGGACAAUGGGGGAAACCCUGAUCCAGCAAUGCCGCGUGUGUGAAGAAGGCCUUCGGGUUGUAAAGCACUUUUUCAAGACUUACGGUACCGGAAGAAUAAGCACCGGCUAACUACGUGCCAGCAGCCGCGGUAAUACGUAGGGUGCGAGCGUUAAUCGGAAUUACUGGGCGUAAAGCGUGCGCAGGCGGUUCGUUAAGGCAGAUGUGAAAUCCCCGGGCUUAACCUGGGAACUGCAUUUGUGACUGGCGAGCUAGAGUAUGGCAGAGGGGGGUAGAAUUCCACGUGUAGCAGUGAAAUGCGUAGAGAUGUGGAGGACUACCGAUGGCGAAGGCAGCCCCCUGGGCCAAACUGACGCUCAUGCACGAAAGCGUGGGGAGCAAACAGGAUUAGAUACCCCUGUAGUC